CUGCCGCCCCUUUAAGAGCCACUGGAAUGUGAUGCUGCCACACCUUUAAGAGCCAGUGGAAUGUGAUGCUGCCGCCCCUUUAAGUGCCAGUGGAAUGUGAUGCUGCACUAGGGUAGCCUAGUGGUUAGAGUGUUGGACUAGUAACCGGAAGGUUGCAAGUUCAAACCCCCGAGCUGACAGGGUACAAAUCUGUCGUUCUGCCCCUGAACAGGCAGUUAACCCACUGUUCCUAGGCCGUCAUUGAAAAUAAGAAUUUGUUCUUAACUGACUUGCCUGGUUAAAUAAAGGUAAAAUAAAAUAAAAUUAAAAAAAUUAAAAAAGAGCCAGUGGAAUAUGAAGCUGAUGCCCCUUUAAGAGGGAAAGGGGGAUACCUAGUCAGUUGUCUACUGAAUGUAGUCAGUUGUCAGAAGUCCAACUGAAUCAGAGAGGUGAGGGGGGCUGCCUUAGUCAACAGCCACCUCUUCAGCUCCCGGGGAACAGUGGGUUAACUGCCUUGUUAAGGGGCAGAACGACAGAUUUCUACCUUGUCAGCUCGGGGAUUUUGGUAACUGGCCUUUCGGUUACUGGCCCAACGCUAACCACUAGGCUACCAAGCCAGUGGAUUGUGAUGCUGCUGCCCCUUUAAGAGCCAGUGAAUUGUGAUGCUGCUUCCCCUUUAAGAGCCAGUGGAAUGUGAUGCUGGUGAGCCAGGAGACUUCAUCUGAGCCCCAAUCUGCAUUGAGCGUAAAGCCGAGUGGAGCGGAGGGGAUCAACCUGGGCCCUGUCUGUUACAUUCAAGCACACUGCCAUCUCCCUCUGCAAUCUCUGCUUAUGGUUACCUGCCAAACAGCGAAACCUAUGCCUCAAGAGUAUUCAUAUGCAAAUGAAUGCUUCUUCCCGAAGUUGCAACAAUAACUUAGUAAGUACACUUACUGAUACAACAAAGUAAGCAAAAUACUCCUAAAAUGUUUAAAUGCAAAAUCUAAAAUGGAAUGUCUGAGCACCCCAACAACCAUGAAUGAAAUAUAUGAAUCAGAAAUGAAUAAAAUGUAUGGACCCAGGUCUUUCCUUUUCCCCAGGUGGAAGAUUGGCUUGACCAAUGACGUGACCCACAACUCCCAGACCAGACUGAGUGAGUCCUCUUGUCCUGAUUGAUUGGUAUCUACAACAACAACUAUAGGCCCUGGUCAAAAGUAGUGCACUAUAUAGGGGAUAGGGUGCUAUAGGGCCCUGUUCAAAGUAGUGCACUAUAUAGGGAAAAGGGUGCCAUUUGGUAAGCGUGACUGUGGGGUUGAGAUAACAUCUGAAGGG
rnacentral:lncRNA from 13 species